GACGGUGGUGCUCGGCUCGUACUUCAUCGCUCACGGCUUCUUCAGUGUCUACGGCAUGUGUGUGGACACGCUCUUCCUGUGUUUCUUGGAAGACUUGGAGCGGAACGACGGCUCCCAGGAGAGACCCUACUUCAUGCCUGACACUCUUCUCAAAGCUCUGAAGAAAAAGAACGAAGCAAAGCCGAGCGAAUAAGCACCAGGCCAGCGGCGCCAUCUCCACCGGGCUGAGCGGCAGGGCGUGCGGGCAGCAGCGGCACCACCUCUCGGUGUCAACAAGCGACGGCCAGAGAGGAAUUCUUCAUCUUUAAUGGAAUUGCCAUAGGGUAGAGCUAUAGAAUUACAUUUUCUUCCCAUGUGUAUUGAUUGUAAGGUUUGUACAGUACUCUGCACCCAUUAUUUUUACAUUAUAUUUAUUUUUUUUUGGGGGGGGGAGUGUUUCAAACUUCAGCUGUCGGAAUAUUAUUUAGCAUUACGAGACAUGAUAAAAAGAAAUAUGCAAAUGUGGCAGUUUAAAGGUGAAGCAGCUGCCAUGGUAAAUGUUUUGUUUUUUGGUAAAUGCCCUGCCUGUCCGACCUUUGUCCUUUUUUGUCUGCUAAUGCCUCGUCUCCCUAGCCUCUCCCCAGGCGUAGCUGAGCUGCCCGGGCUGGAUGAGGUGGAAUUAAAGACGGCUGUCUGCGUUCAAGCUGGAUUUUGUCCUGUGUAGUGACACAGGAAGUAAAGUCACAUUGGCUUGUGGGAUUGAUUGGGUGCAUUGAUUGAUUGAAGAUAGACGAAGUUAAACAAACGUGUGGCGCUUUUUUUUUAAAAUUAUUAUUAUCGGUUGUUGCGCAGCUGUCAGUAGUCUUACUAAAGAAAAGCAUUGGGAAACGGCCUCCCUCGACACCUGUCCCAGACUGACCAGCUGUGCCUGUCGAGAGGCUGUGGAAACGAGGCCCCAACUUCCUUGUUGUUUUCUGCGUUCUGUGGCUAAUUCCCUCAAUCCGUGCAUCAAGCAUGAGAGUCUGGACCUGAAGCACGUUGCUAGAUUUCUAGAUAGUUUGUGUUUUGCUAGGUUAUGCAAGGGUAUGCAAAACCAGAACCGACAACAGCAUUGCCUUGUAUAGGAGAGCAUGACCCAGCAUAGCCCGGCAUUCAUGAAGUAUAUCUGGCAGUGCUGCUACUUUUAAGCUCAAUAAUCAAUUUCAUCCAAAAAAAAAUAAUCUUGUUUUCCCCCUUUUUUUUUUUUUUUUUUUUUUUUUGCAAUCCUAUUUUGCUGAGCUGGUGUGUAGUUCUGCAGUGUCAUUACCAGGAGUUAAUCUUGAUUGGGGGAAAUUGUCAUGUGACUCUUUAAUUCUCUAACUGUAAGGUUCUGCUCAGUAUCAUUACAGAGCAUGCUUCGCUCUUCUGAGGUGUAAAUACAGGACCCGUGUCUCCUUGAUUCCAGCAGUCUGAUAGACUGUGUUCAGGUUGCUUGCUAAGCGCAGGUGAAGACCUCUCUGUGCAGGUCUGUGAGGAGCCGAGGUUGUAACGCAUCACGCAGGGUGAAAUGUAAGUUUUGAAAUGCCUUUAGUGGGCUGUACAGAGAUGGAAAGAGGACUCCGUUCCACGCUUUAUUGCAAGCCCCAGUGUGUGCAGGUAACAAGCUCAGGUGCGUCCUUAUUAAACUCCUAGUAAAACCAGGAUUGGAUCUCACUGCUAUGCAACCGGAGUUUAAUUCCGCGGUGGAAAUGUGAUUAUUACAGUAGCUUUAAUUCCACGAGCUGUUUUUCUCUUCAAGAAAGGUGCAACUAAUUAGGAGCAGUAAGGCCCUGUAGGAUUUUGAAGCAGUUAGUAACAGUGAACGAUACUUGUUGCAUGAGUGUACAGCUCUGGCCAAAGUGUUGCAUCGCCCUGUAGAAUUAACGAGGCUUGCUUCAUAGAGUCGAAUGAAGCCUGCUGCAUAAUGUGCCUGUAACAUAGUGAAUGGCACACUGCUUCAUCGUUUUUCAUACACGGAAGACUUUGGAUAUGAUUUUGUAGUUUCUUUGAGUACACAAUGUUAAAUAAGGUGUUUUUUUUUUUUCUUUAUUAUGUACAUUUAAAGGCAUGUUUUAAUGAAUAUAACAGUUUUUGUACCGUUUUUAAUGAAUAAAUAACUUCCUAUUGCAUGUGUUUCUAA